AAAGCUCUGCUAACUAGAACCUGGAGGGGCGAAAAACAAAAUUGAGUGGGUCAGUAAAACCAAAGCUUUUCAAAAACAUUUCGCCAAAAAAAUAGUUCUAACCCCUCUCUGUAAAACCUGUAUACUUUUCCCAGAAAAUAACAUAAUAGUAUAUAACAAAAAAAAAUCCUCAUAUCUCAAAUCAUCAAUCUGUAUCAAAAUCCAGAAAUCAUGCCAUGCCAUAAAGUCAAAAUAGAAUAUGGAUGCAUCAAUAUAACAGGUGAAAUAAUAAAUCAACAGAAGACCCUACAAGGGUCCUGUACGGCUGAUUCUAAAGCUCAACAUCCCACUCAGUCGGAGUCACCACAGUGACCUAUAUGGCCCUGCUGAAGUCACCAACUGUGACCUGUACGACACUACACUGCACAUCACUCGGAACUACGUAUAGUAGUCUGUACGAUGAAAGGUGUAUAAAUACGCUCUAGUGCUUCUCUCAUCAAUCAUCAGCGCGCAUAACUAAGGUCACUCACUAGUUGGAAUCACACCUGGUGAUCUAUACAACUAGCAUGUCGGAACCCUCACAUGGUCUGUACGACAUCCACCUACUUGGAUCCAAGGUGAGCGUGCAGUGUGGUGAAUAACAAUAUAAGCACUAACACCUAAGUCCAGGUUAUGAGCUUUCAAUGUAAUUCAUAUAAAAUAACUCAUCUGAAAGAUAAUAAAACUCACCUGUGCGUCCACCGCGUCAAUUCACAUAUAUAUGCAUCAAUUCUCAAUUCAAAUAUCUCAACAUUUGCAUGCAUGGCAAUUUAAAUCAUAAUUUUCAUAUAAACGCAUUUUCUGGGAAAAACAGUUGUAUAUAGGUAAUACGAAAUCAAAACUGCCCACUCACCUGGAGUUCUCCCUACAACUCCCUAGCACAAUACGCCAAGGCGUCAUGACGAUCGGCGCCUAAAACAAUAAUCAAAUCCAACCUCAGAAUUCAUAUCAAUAGAAUAUAUAACUUAUAUAAAAUACGUCACUACGUAGUUCGAUCCGGAAGAUCUGCCACUCAGAUUUUAAAUCCAUAACUUCGAGAGGUCCACAAUAUAUCUCUAGGACCACAUCCUAAAAUUUCAUUACCAUCCAACGGUCGGAUCUCCGUCAAUUUCCAAAACCAAGUGACGGUUAACAUUCUAUUUUAUGAACUUGAACUCCAAUUCCGGAAGAUCCGUAACUCGGAUUCCCAAUCCGUAAGUUCCUAUAAUCCUCAAAUAUUAUGUAUUACAACGUAUCAAAGUUUGGUGACGAUCCAACGGUCGGAUCGUCAAUUCACAUUUUUACCUAUAUGCGAAAUAAUUAUAAAACGUUAUUUAAAGCACCUAACCAACAAUUCUUAAUAACUUCUCAUACGGUGCUCAAAUUGGGGAUAUGAAUAUACCACAGUGAUCUACACAACCUCAGGAUCAUCCCCAAAUUUUUAAAAUAAUUUUUGGACUGUUCACACGCCGACACAUGCACGGCCAGACGCGCCCCCACGCGCGGCCACGUGCACUGCACACUGACGGCGUCAGUUAACGCCGUCAGGUAUAUUCCGAGAAUAUUCCGUUUGUCCUUUAAUAAAACUUAACGGCGUAACUUAACGCCGUUAGAAUAUUCCGUUUAACUUAACGGAAUAUUCCUCUUUCUUCUUCCUUCAGCUCCGGCGACCGUCGCCGUCGCCGGAAACUGGGUAAAUUUUCUAAGUUCGAUUUCUCACUUGAUUUUCAUCCAAUUUCUACGAAAUUUGUACCAAAAGAAAGCUGGAGAGGAGUAGAACAACAUUAUACCUCUUUCAAACUUCAAAACCCACGGGAUCUCGUUGGGAAAAAUCCAAGAAAACCGGCCAACUUCGAAUUUCACGAUCCCAACGUCCAAUUUCUUCCAACGAACCACUCCGAGCCUCCUUGUGACCUCCUUAAACUCCCUAUGAGCUUAGAUUUCCUUAAAACACAACAUUUUACGUUUGCAUGAAUAGUGUUCAAAAUUGGAGUUGUGAUUUCGACGUGAAAUCGAAAGAUUUCUUACCUGAAAUGGGUGUGGUUGAGUUCGUAUAGUCCUCACGAGCACGAUGGUACCCUCACAAUCUUCGAUCCGUGGAGUUUUGGAGUUCUUGGCCCUUGUCCGUACCUUCGAGGGUGAGAGAGAGAGGAAGUUGACGGGGAGGAGAGAGAGACACGGGGGAAAGAGAGAGGGAUGAGGUGUAUGUGUGUGGUCCAACCACAAUCCAAAAUCUAUUUCUUACCACACAAAACACAAACCAAAAUUUAAUCUACAUAAAUAUAAUUUCCAAAAGUUUAUGAAAUGUGUGCAUUUAGUCCAAAAUAUAUCUCACACACACAUACCUUAGUCACGUUAAGGUCAUUUCCGUCAUUUCACAUUCCCGAUAUAGAAAUCCCGGGACGGGCUGUGAUAAUUUAU
rnacentral:lncRNA from 1 species